GAGGGUCCGGCAGCCGCGCGCCCGCCGCGGGGCCAUGGCCGCAACUCCACAGGGCCCUGCUGGACUGCCCCGGCGAACGCUGCCCAGGCCCGGGGGAGGUGGCGAGCGCGGCUCUGGGACCUGCGGCCCCGCCAGGCGCAGUCGCUUUCGCUUUUGCUUUGGCCCCCGAGGGUUCCGAGAGGUGCAGAGCGGUGACAGAUCCGUGACUCAGCGUCCCCACCCCUGCUGGCGAAGGAGCCCUGCGGACCGCCGCGGCCCCGCAUAGCCACCCCUGUCCCCGGGACGCACGGGCCGUGCUCGGUGGGGACCAAGGACUUUACCCACGCAAGCCCGAGAACCUCCCGGUCCUCCGCGCUCCUCGUGCUCCGGGACCUCCAGUGUGCACUGGGUCUGGUGUCCCCACCGCGGAGAGAGUGGGCAAAGUCAUCAGACAGCAGACUCUCUCCAGAACCCUCUGCGGCUCGGAUCCACUCGACCUUGCCCCGCGCGGGUCGCCUCCAGCUGCUCCGCCUUCGACUUUCCUGGUCUCUCUCCGGGGCCCUGCGCUCGGUUCCGAGCUGCCAGCCUGGCACACCUCAUUGGGAUCAUCUUCACAUAUUAGAGAAGUUCCAUACACGUUGAGCCUCGCAAAGGAAGGGGUCUGGGUAUCAGAUUCCCUCUUCCCAGGAAGUACCUUUGGAAAUUUACUUACUGCCUACUGAGAAGCUCUGCAAGCUGAAAGAUCUGUAUUUCCAGCUUGUACUAUUCUUCUUCUUCUGCCUGAAGACUUCCGUAUCAGUUCCCUAGGGUUGCCGUCACAAAGUACCACAAACUGAGUGGCUUAAAGCAGCAGAAAUGCAUUCUCUCACAGUUCUAGAAGCCGGAAGUCUGAAAUUAAGGCAUCAGCAGGACUGUGCUCUCUCUGAAGGCUCCCGCAGAAGACCCUUUCUUGCCUCUUCCUAACCUGAUUAUUGCUGACAGUCCUUGGUGUUCCUCAGCUCGUGGUAUCAAACUUCAGUCUCUCCAGCUGGGUGCAGUGGCUCAUGUCUGUAAUCCCAGCACUUUGGGAGGCCGAGGCA